CCGAAGUUCAUCAUCGUCUUGCCAAGAAAGAAUAGUGUAUUCUGGAUGUUGCCGAGGCCUUUAUGGUGCCUGUUCUUUUAUAUUCUCUUUUUCCCUUUUUUUUUAAAUCUUUAUUGAGCAGUGUAUGAGCAGAGCUCAGUGAGAGAGAAGACCUAAAAGCUAGCAUGCAUAUGCGACAUGCCUAAUUGAGGUCAGGUUUACGGAUAAAACCAUGGGGGCAUAGUGAAAAAAACUUCUGAUUAUGGUUUCAUUGAAAUGGAAGAUUAAAACAUGGAUGGGAUCAGCUUGACAGAAAGUGUUCACAAUGUCAGGGAAUUCUCAAAAACCAGCAUGACUGGAAGUUACCAGCGGGCAUUAUUGUAUUUUGAAUGGUAUCAUGUCUUUUCUUCUCGCAUUAUUGUUUUUAUUAUUUCUUCUCUCGAUUUUCUUUACAGCAAAAUUACUGGAUGUUAUUUUUGUCGUCUCAAGUACACUGAUGCCAGUAAACCAUUAGCUGAGACAGAUUGCCAAAGCUAAACCUCUGAACAUAAUAAAAGAAGAGGAACAGGUUGGUGGAAAUGAGGAAAAAGAUCCAUCUGAUUGCAUAGAACAAUCAGAAAGCUUAAAAAUUGUAAAACAGCUUCCAACAGACAAUAACGAAGCAGGUUGUGGUGGAGAAUUAGAAAUGCCCCAAGUCAUAUCUCUUCAUGGCUCUGAUUCUCAAGAAGUCCAGAUGGUACUCAAACUAGGUUUUACUCUUCCGACUUCAUGUUAUGCCACAACGACCAUAAGAGAGCUUCUGAAAACAUCAACAUCUGUUGCAUUCUGAACUGGUGGUCACCAAAUAAGAAUUUUCAAUGAGUGCUCGGGUGCGCUGCGAUCCUGGGUGUCUUGCCCAUGUAGAAUCAUGGCACUCUUGAAUGAUUUCUUUCCUCAAUCCGCCCUAUCUUGGCACAUACAACCGCUCUCCCUUGGUGUGCAACAAUCCAUCUCGUAGCCAAAAUCUUCGGGUCUUCCCUUGGCUUGCUAAUUCACACAAACUCUUGGCUUGGGCUUCAAGUUUAAAAUUGGUGGUUGAGGGAGUAGGGUGGGUGAUAUUUGGUGAAGAAGGAGUUUGGGUUGGGAGGUGAUUUGAAUAAGGGUUACGGGUCUG